rnacentral:rRNA from 2 species
GCUAUCAUGCAAGUCGAGCGACUGAUUAGAAGCUUGCUUCUAUGACGUUAGCGGCGGACGGGUGAGUAACACGUGGGCAACCUGCCUGUAAGACUGGGAUAACUUCGGGAAACCGAAGCUAAUACCGGAUAGGAUCUUCUCCUUCAUGGGAGAUGAUUGAAAGAUGGUUUCGGCUAUCACUUACAGAUGGGCCCGCGGUGCAUUAGCUAGUUGGUGAGGUAACGGCUCACCAAGGCAACGAUGCAUAGCCGACCUGAGAGGGUGAUCGGCCACACUGGGACUGAGACACGGCCCAGACUCCUACGGGAGGCAGCAGUAGGGAAUCUUCCGCAAUGGACGAAAGUCUGACGGAGCAACGCCGCGUGAGUGAUGAAGGCUUU